CUUCCCCUUCAAAUGUCAGAAGCCUGAUAUCUACUGGCAUGCUUGACGGCAUCCCAGUAAAGUAUGUUUCUGUGUCAUGUGAGGAGCUUCGGGGAAUCAUAAAGGAUUCUGGCUAUCUUUGUGGCUGUCAAUCAUGCAAUUAUUCGAAGGUGCUUAAUGCAUAUGAAUUC